rnacentral:tRNA from 1 species
GCCUUUAUAGCUCAGUGGUAGAGCGCAUCACUCGUAUACGCUUACCCGAUGAUGAGGUCCAUUGUUCGAUCCAGUGUGGAGGCA